CAAUGGGCGAGAGCCUGAACCAGCCAAGUAGCGUGCAGGAUGACGGCCCUCCGGGUUGUAAACUGCUUUUAGUUGGGAAUAAAAAAAGGGACUUGUCUCUUCUUGUAUGUACCUUCAGAAAAAGGACCGGCUAAUUCCGUGCCAGCAGCCGCGGUAAUACGGAAGGUCCAGGCGUUAUCCGGAUUUAUUGGGUUUAAAGGGAGCGUAGGCGGAUUGUUAAGUCAGCGGUUAAAGGGUGUGGCUCAACCAUGCAUUGCCGUUGAAACUGGCGAUCUUGAGUGCAGACAGGGAUGCCGGAAUUCGUGGUGUAGCGGUGAAAUGCUUAGAUAUCACGAAGAACUCCGAUCGCGAAGGCAGGUGUCCGGGCUGCAACUGACGCUGAGGCUCGAAAGUGUGGGUAUCAAACAGGAUUAGAUACCCUGGUAGUCCACACAGUAAACGAUGUAUACUCGCGGUUUGCGAUAGACAGUAAGCCGCCAAGCGAAAGCAUUAAGUAUACCACCUGGGGAGUACGCCGGCAACGGUGAAACUCAAAGGAAUUGACGGGGGCCCGCACAAGCGGAGGAACAUGUGGUUUAAUUCGAUGAUACGCGAGGAACCUUACCCGGGCUUGAACUAACGGUGACGAAUCUAGAGAUAGAUUUUUCUUCGGACACCGUUGGAGGUGCUGCAUGGUUGUCGUCAGCUCGUGCCGUGAGGUGUCGGCUUAAGUGCCAUAACGAGCGCAACCCUUCUCCUCGGUUGCCAUCGGGUAAUGCCGGGCACUCCGUGGACACUGCCAUCGUAAGAUGUGAGGAAGGUGGGGAUGACGUCAAAUCAGCACGGCCCUUACGUCCGGGGCUACACACGUGUUACAAUGGGGGGUACAGAAGGCCGCUACCCGGCGACGGGAUGCUAA
rnacentral:rRNA from 1 species